AACCCAACCAUGAUAUUUUGGGUUAUUUUGGGUCUUUUUAAAAAAUGAAAUAAGUCAUAAUGGGCUGAGAAUUUAGUCAAGAUGGGUUAGAAUGGGUUUUAAAAUACUCAUCUAAAUUCUAACAUGGGCCAGGAUGGGUUUUUCACUAUCCAACCUAAAACACACAGACUUCAUGGAAACGAAUCAAACCUCUUCGUGGAUUCAACUCUAAAUCAACUCUAAGUCACCAUCUUCGUCGAUUUCAACUCUAAAUCACCAUCUUCGUCGAUUUCAAACCUCGCCAUCACGUGACUCGGUCUUCCUUCCUUCUUUCAAACCUCGCCAUCACGCAUUUUUAGCUGUUUACAGUUCUCUGAUGGUGAAAAUGUUGAAAUUGCUAUGGUUUAGAAAGUAUGGUUUCAUGCCCACCAAGUGUUUGAUGAUUUGCUUACUCGGUUGUGACGUUUGGAUUGACAUGUUUUUGUUGUCAGUUGUUAUGUUUUACCUGUGCUUGCUAGUAAUCUGAUGUCAAUACAUGAUUACUUUAUUUUGAUAUA